CAUAUAGUAAGGGAUAACAGUUGGAAACGACUGCUAAUACCAUAUACGCCCUUAGGGGGAAAGAUUUAUCGCUAUAUGAUGAGCCCGCGUAAGAUUAGCUAGUUGGUGAGGUAAUGGCUCACCAAGGCUACGAUCUUUAGCUGGUCUGAGAGGAUGAUCAGCCACACUGGAACUGAGACACGGUCCAGACUCCUACGGGAGGCAGCAGUGGGGAAUAUUGGACAAUGGGCGCAAGCCUGAUCCAGCCAUGCCGCGUGAAUGAUGAAGGCCUUAGGGUUGUAAAGUUCUUUCGCUAUCGAGGAUAAUGACUGUAGAUAGAUAAGAAGCCCCGGCUAACUUCGUGCCAGCAGCCGCGGUAAUACGAAGGGGGCUAGCGUUGUUCGGAAUCACUGGGCGUAAAGCGCGCGUAGGCGGCUAUUCAAGUCAGAGGUGAAAUCCCAGAGCUCAACUUUGGAACUGCCUUUGAAACUGUAUAGCUGGAGUGUUGGAGGGGAUAGCGGAAUUCCUAGUGUAGAGGUGAAAUUCGUAGAUACUAGGAGGAACACCGGUGGCGAAGGCGGCUAUCUGGACAACAACUGACGCUGAGGCGCGAAAGCGUGGGUACCAAACAGGAUUAGAUACCCUGGUAGUCCACGCUGUAAACGAUGAGUGCUAGCUGUCGGGCCCUUAGGGUUCGGUGGCGCUGCUAACGCAUUAAGCACUCCGCCUGGGGAGUACGGUCGCAAGAUUAAAACUCAAAGGAAUUGA
rnacentral:rRNA from 1 species